rnacentral:tmRNA from 1 species
GGGCUUGUACUGGUUUCGACGGGGAUUUUGAAGCUGGGGCAGCCAUCCGCAGACUCUGGGACUGCGUAAUAACCUGGAACUUAAAUAUAAACGCAGACAAUAGACAGUUAGCGUUAGCAGCCUAAGUGCUGCUCGUCAGCCCUCCUGCACUCACACUUGAGGAAUCUGGCGUCAAUUAUGUGAGAAACCUUAUCGGUUAAGCUUUGCACCGGUAGAUGUAUCAUGAAGCUACUGAGGGUGUAAGCCUGCUGUCGGGCGUACAUCUGAGGGAAUGUUAAAACAGCAGCUGUGAUGGGAGACACCACAGGGGAUAGGUUUUCGGACGCGGGUUCGAUUCCCGCCAGGUCCACUA